UUUAUGGAGAGUUUGAUCCUGGCUCAGGACGAACGCUGGCGGCGUGCCUAAUACAUGCAAGUCGAGCGGACCUCAUAAGAGCUUGCUCUUAUGAGGUUAGCGGCGGACGGGUGAGUAACACGUGGGCAACCUGCCCUGUAGACUGGGAUAACUUCGGGAAACCGGAGCUAAUACCGGAUAAUCAGUGACACCACAUGGUGUCAUUGUAAAAGUUGGGAUACUAACACUACAGGAUGGGCCCGCGGCGCAUUAGCUAGUUGGUGAGGUAACGGCUCACCAAGGCGACGAUGCGUAGCCGACCUGAGAGGGUGA
rnacentral:rRNA from 1 species